rnacentral:lncRNA from 8 species
UUCAGUGGUGUUUGCUAUAAUCUUUGCUACCCGGGUUAAAUAAAGGUGACAUAAAAUAAAUAAAUAAAAGUUCCCUUGCGACAAUUUAGCUUUUGCAACGAGGCCAUUAAAUAUAUUUAAGACAAUGGUAGAAGAGAGUGUAGUUCUGUUCAGUUUGGAUUUCAGUUUAUCGCUAACCUUAUCACAGGGACUUUGAAGCACUAACUUAUAGUAGAUAAGACCUCUCUGUUACCUAGCAAGCUAAGGAACUGGCAGUGGAUCAAACCAUUGUGAGGCAAAGGGUGGGGGGGUCGCAAUCUUUUGAAACUUAAAAACGCGCUAUUAAGUGUCUAUAAUCAGCACAAUUGCUUUCAUUGCGUAUUAUUAAUAUUAUUUCAAUUACAUAGUUAUGUUUCAGUGAUAUAUUGGGGGGGACAAAUCAUAUUUUUCCCAGGAUGGGGGGGGUCGUGUCCCCCCCGUCCCCCCCGGGAUUUCCGCCCCUGGUUGAUUGUGUGGGCAAGACAUGGAUGAUGGGUCCAUUUAAACAUUUUCAUGGCUUUGGUUAUGUUAGCUGCAUUGUCACUAACACUUUUCCAUCUACUUGCCAUUCUCUGGCCAAUCUCAACAGUUCCUCUGCCAAGUUCUCUGAGGUGUGUCUGUCGCUGAACUCUAAACAGUCCAGAAGACAGCUAGACAUCGAAAAAUCUUCAAUGAAGUGACAUGUAACCGACAUGUAAGAAGUGGUUACCCUUGAUGUCCAGCAGUCAGUGUUCCAAAACUGUGAGUGAAAACAACAAGAACAACAACAGUGGAACUGUUGAAUGGCACCUCUCGCCAAGAACAAUUCCCUCACAAAUGAGUCCACCUUCAUGCCACCAAGGCCUACCCCACCUAAACCAGGUGGUGUUAAACCACAGGUGGGCUCUCCUGCAAGGCGUUCUAUGGCUCCUCAGUCAUUUCACAAUCCUACUCGUGAGUGCUUCCAGUCAUCAGUGAGAUGUUUGGCUGUGAUCUACCAUGGGCAACCUGUUUAUUUUCCCAAUGUCUUUGGCCAUGUGGAGUUGGUUAAGUGUCGAGAGCCCAAGUCUGAGAUGAUAUGCUUACUUGCAACACAACACUUUUUAUCCUCCAGCAAUGAUGUCCAGUGUCCUUGAGCCUUCACAAUUUGGAACAAGUAUUCUGCAAUCCACAAUCUUAGAUGCUCACUGUCUUCGCCCAGACAUUGAUGUAUCUGCCAUUUAAAGGUAAACUGUCCUUUUAUUCAGAUCAUGAUGAUAACAAACCAGCAAUAAGUUAACAUGCCAUGUCUCAUAUAUACUACAGACAAGACAGUCUUACCAAACACAGCAGUAGAACCUGAAAGGAACAAUGAACAUGAAAAGAGACUCCAAGAGAUGCAGACAUUCUUGUUGGCCUACCUCACAGCAAAGGUAACUACUAACUAUUGUAUUUAGUGUUUUUCUAAAUUGGACAACAUGUUCUAUUGAUAUUUUGCCCAUUAGGAUGAACCUUUUUCGUAAUCUACUCUGUUCUGUUUAAUUUCAGAUGGAGAAUAAUAGCCAGAAAUUUGAGGCGGGGGUGUAUUUUAUCAGUGAUGGAGGAAGAGGAGCAGCUACGGAAGGAAGUCCAUGAGAAGAAGCAUUAGUACCUCCUCCUGGAGAAGAACAAGCAGCUUGAUGACCAGCUCGAUUUACAGGUCAGAGGUAAUUUCUCUCAAUACAUCCUAAACAAUCUUUGAUUUAUGUAAACAAGUUGUGAAGCUGGAAAAAAUGUUAUCCUGUUUGUUUUGCGUGUGUUAUCAUUGUGGGAUCGUUGUUGAUUUGAAUUAUAAAAGAUAAAUUGCUUGUAACAUGUAAAUCAAUCAAAAAACGUUAUAUUUUCUGAUCACAGCGCUAACUCCUGUGGCUGAUGCUAUCAAGCAGUUCACACAGGAAUACAAGCCUUUUGCCAUCGCAGUCGACACCCACGUCAUGAGCUGCCAGUGAAGAACUUCUUCAUUGAGGGGGACAGAAUUAUGUUUCUGGGUUGGUAUUAUUCAAUUAUUUCUUUACUGGUGUGAAGCGAAAAACCUACAUCAGAGUUAAAAUGUAUUUAUUGCUUACGCAUAGGAUAUGAUUUCCAAUGAAUGUGUUUGAAUGUGUCCUACCCAUGCAGAUAAAGUCACUGCGAGCCUGAAAUUGAGUGAGGAAGUGUUACUGCAGUGCACACAGGGAGCUCAUCAUGACAAUGAGAAUUCUGCUGAGUGCCUGAGAGGGAUGAAAGCUGCUGCACAGAACAUCAGCUCUCAGGGUAAGACUAUAGAUUAGAGACCUAAGACGUUAUUUUUUGUUUAAGUGUUUUGAAGCAAUUAUGCAUUUUCUACUUGUUAUUAGUGAGUCUUGCCCUUUGACUGAUUUACUGUAUGUGUAUGCACUCAUAAGCUAAGUGUUUACACUGGUCAACACACUAACAUUAUGGUGUCACUUCAAGACACUAACGUUUUCCAAAGACAUAAUAAACAAUUAAUUAAUGUGUAGUGGGUUUGUUUUUGUUUUGGUGACCACAGGAUUUCCUUCUUCACAGGGGUCUUUCAGAGUUGGUGGAGCUGUCAUCGCUGGUCAGUCGCCAGACUGUUCAGAUUGGCUUGGCUUGACCAAAAAGUGCCCCAAACAGUGAAGCAGCAUUGGAGAACCUUGUAUGGCAUGUACAGUCUAUAGUUUUUGUUAACAUAGUUUAAUUACUGAACAUGGGGAUUGUUUUGUAAAACUUUAUAAUAAAUUGUAUACCUCAAUAUGUAAUGUAUUUUACAUACUUUUCAAGUGACUUGAUAUUGUAAGACAUUUCCGUCACCUCGGAAGUGUUUCAAUUGUAAAUAUUUGUAUCCGUAUGAUAUUGCUGCAAGGAUACAUUGUAGCGCCGUUACUGAAUUGAUACAUGUGACAAAUUAUUGCUAAAGUUCCGUUCGCCGGAUGUGACGUCGAAGCUAUCGCGAUAAACGUGGAAUUCGUUGUUGCUUAUUGGCUCAUUCUGGCAAGUGACGU